rnacentral:rRNA from 1 species
UACGAAGGGGGCUAGCGUUGUUCGGAAUUACUGGGCGUAAAGCGCGCGCAGGCGGUUCUCCAAGUCAGUGGUGAAAGCCCGGAGCUCAACUCCGGAACUGCCAUUGAAACUGUUGAACUUGAGGACGAGAGAGGUGAGUGGAAUUCCCAGUGUAGAGGUGAAAUUCGUAGAUAUUGGGAAGAACACCGGUGGCGAAGGCGGCUCACUGGCUCGUAUCUGACGCUCAGGCGCGAUAGCGUGGGGAGCAAACAGG